rnacentral:rRNA from 1 species
AUACGUAGGUGGCGAGCGUUGUCCGGAAUUACUGGGUGUAAAGGGCGCGUAGGCGGGGAUGCAAGUCAGAUGUGAAAUACCAUGGCUCAACUGUGGGGCUGCAUCUGAAACUGUGUUUCUUGAGUGCUGGAGAGGAAAGCGGAAUUCCUAGUGUAGCGGUGAAAUGCGUAGAGAUUAGGAGGAACACCAGUGGCGAAGGCGGCUUUCUGGACAGUAACUGACGCUGAGGCGCGAAAGCGUGGGGAGCGAACAGGAUUAGAUACCCUGGUAGUCCACGCCGUAAACGAUGGAUACUAGGUGUAGGAGGUAUCGACCCCUCCUGUGCCGGAGUUAACACAAUAAGUAUCCCACCUGGGGAGUACGGCCGCAAGGUUGAA